rfam:Ornithorhynchus anatinus chromosome 3, whole genome shotgun sequence.
CCCCUCUCAGGAUCGCAUCUGGAGAGUUUAUAGUACUCUGCCUGUCUUGGCUAAAGGAGGGAAAGUCAAGCAGAGCCAUACCCAUUCCAUUUCUAGUUUGGCCAGUGGCUGAGAGUGGAAGGCAAUCUGCUACAAGU